rnacentral:lncRNA from 1 species
ACCUGAGCUUGAAGUUUCACUUGAGGUUUCAUUUGGCCUUCUAAAGUUCGAGCUGUCUUCUACCAUAACUCGAUCAGGCACUUGAAAAACAGGUGAAACAAUUAAACAUAAGAAGGGAUAUAAGGCUGCGCGAAUUAAGAUAUGGACUAUGAUUUCGAGUAGCGCGUACUUUACGAAUAACCGUGACGAGAAUAUAAAAUUUAGUAUGCAGUGAUAACUAAUUUGUGCAAUGAUAAAAUGUAAAAUGUGCAGUGAUAAAAUUUGCUGUGAUAAGUUGUUAUAAUUAACAAGAAAAUGAGGCAAUGAGUAGAAAAUUCGUUUUGACACUUGACAGUAUUAAUCAAAACGUUUUGAAUGAGAGUAAUUUGAAUGAAAUUGAAAUGGUAAGUGCCAAGUUAUGGAACGCGUCCGCACUAAUGUUAUACUUAAAGUUCAUCAGAUGAACAAAGUCUCACAUGCAGCAAAGAUCUUUUUAUGAGUUUGAAAAAAAUUACAAUGAAAUAUAAAUACAAACCAUACGCCCGUAUUCUAAAAGCUCA